rnacentral:lncRNA from 1 species
AAAAUGGUAUAGUAAGUUCAACUCAGUCGUGCGCGCGGCCCUAUGUGUGGGUAACCCUUGUACAUAUACAGUGACUUUGUGUGCGUGACAAGAGGUACAGUCGGGUACAAAUACAGUUAUUUAGCUCUGUUUUAGAUUCUGUAUCGCUACUUGAAAAAUCAAAUGAUGAAUUUUCGGAUUCGCUACUUUCACCAAUGUGAAUUAUAAAUUCUGACUCCAUGUCAAAAUGUCUAUAGUAUUCUUCUUUUUUCUUUUGUACAUGUCGACAAGUA